rnacentral:rRNA from 1 species
CGGAUGGSAGCUUGCUCCCUGGUGUUASCGGCGGAUGGGUGAGUAACACGUGGGUAACCUGCCUGUAAKACUGGGAUAACUCCGGGAAACCGGAGCUAAUACCGGAUGGUUGUUUGAACCGCAUGGUUCAAACAUAAAAGGUGGCUUCGGCUACCACUUACAGAUGGACCCGCGGCGCAUUAGCUAGUUGGUGAGGUAACGGCUCACCAAGGCAACGAUGCGUAGCCGACCUGAGAGGGUGAUCGGCCACACUGGGACUGAGACACGGCCCAGACUCCUACGGGAGGCAGCAGUAGGGAAUCUUCCGCAAUGGACGAAAGUCUGACGGAGCAACGCCGCGUGAGUGAUGAAGGUUUUCGGAUCGUAAAGCUCUGUUGUUAGGGAAGAACAAGUACCGUUCGAAUAGGGCGGUACCUUGACGGUACCUAACCAGAAAGCCACGGCUAACUACGUGCCAGCAGCCGCGGUAAUACGUAGGUGGCAAGCGUUGUCCGGAAUUAUUGGGCGUAAAGGGCUCGCAGGCGGUUUCUUAAGUCUGAUGUGAAAGCCCCCGGCUCAACCGGGGAGGGUCAUUGGAAACUGGGGAACUUGAGUGCAGAAGAGGAGAGUGGAAUUCCACGUGUAGCGGUGAAAUGCGUAGAGAUGUGGAGGAACACCAGUGGCGAAGGCGACUCUCUGGUCUGUAACUGACGCUGAGGAGCGAAAGCGUGGGGAGCGAACAGGAUUAGAUACCCUGGUAGUCCACGCCGUAAACGAUGAGUGCUAAGUG